rnacentral:tRNA from 1 species
UCCCUGGUGGUCGAGUGGUUAAGACUCUGUGCUUUCAUUGCCAAGGGCUCAGGUCCAAUUCCUGUUCUGGGAG